rfam:Gossypium arboreum cultivar AKA8401 contig_37848_1, whole genome shotgun sequence.
AUCUCGUGGUGAAAGCAUUUAUGAAGUAACUCCUUGAAUCUAUCCCAUGCCUCAUAUAGGGACUCGUCAUCCAAUUGUUGAAAAGUGGUGAUCUCAUUCUACAACUU